AUUGAACGCUGGCGGCGUGCCUUACACAUGCAAGUCGAACGGCAGCACGGGUUCUUGCACCUGGUGGCGAGUGGCGAACGGGUGAGUAAUAUAUCGGAACGUACCUUAUUGUGGGGGAUAACGCAGCGAAAGCUGUGCUAAUACCGCAUAAUCCCUAAGGGGAAAAGCGGGGGACCGUAAGGCCUCGCGCAAUUAGAGCGGCCGAUACCUGAUUAGCUAGUUGGUGAGGUAAAGGCUCACCAAGGCAACGAUCAGUAGCUGGUCUGAGAGGAAGAUCAGCCACACUGGGACUGAGACACGGCCAAGACUCCUACGGGAGGCAGCAGUGGGGAAUUUUGGACAAUGGGGGCAACCCUGAUCCAGCAAUGCCGCGUGAGUGAAGAAGGCCUUCGGGUUGUAAAGCUCUUUUGUCAGGGAAGAAACAGCAGCUCUAACACAGUAUGCGAAUGACGGUACCUGAAGAAUAAGCACCGGCUAACUACGUGCCAGCCGCCGCGGUAA
rnacentral:rRNA from 1 species